AGGACAUGCAAAAGGUGUGGAGCUCAAUCCAUCAGAGAGGAGGAGUUCACCAACCUUUCUCUGGACCUGGUCCCUGGUGCCUCAGUACAGGAAACACUGCUGGAGUUUAAAUGUGAAUGUGGCGGCAAGACAUCAGGCCAGCGCUCCACCUUCCUGACCCUGCCCAAGUGAGUCACAUCACAUCCAUCACAAACCUACGAUUACUAAAUCUGAAACACAUUAACCCUGUGAACAGACUUAGAUUGAUGGAGGUGUUUUUGCUGGCU